CUCACAGUCACCAGGGAGAUGGAGCCAGACCCCAGGAACCCACAACGGAUGGUGAAGGACGAGAGCUUGGUGGCCUCCAUCCGAACUUGCACCCACACCUCCGGGGUCCCUGUGGAACAGCAGCAAGGAUCUCAGUAUUUCAUCCUAUCCGGAGGGAAGGCUCUAAAGAGCUCAAGGAAGACCUCACGAUGUCUAUGUGUGAGAAGAAACCUUUCACCCCUUCACUAUCACACCCCAUCAUCCAAGCACACACUCCUCUUUCAUCCCAUAAACCCCGGUCAGUGUCACCUGGAGUUAUAAGGAUGGGGUGACUUACCUAGUAACUGAAGACGCUCAGUAAUCUGAAAAAGAAAAA